ACUUAAAUAGUUUAAUUAAAAUUUUGAUUUGUGGUGUCAGAGAUAUACUAUGGUAUUUUAGGUU
rnacentral:tRNA from 1 species